rnacentral:sRNA from 1 species
AUCAACCUAACAGCAUAACAAGGUGUAAAAUGAUGAGGCUCAAACCCUCACAUCAAAGCUGGAUGAGGCAACCCAGUAUUCUGGAUUUUUUUUUUUCUCUUUACGAGAUCCUCCAAGGGGUGGUCCUCUUCUCGCUUCCUGAACACCGACACGGAACAGGCACGCACUCAGUCUUCCACACACACUUCCUGUCACCCUGCCACAGGGCUCUGAGAUGCUCCACGGCCGUUCUGUGCCGGAGUCAACUGCUUUACUGUCUUAGACCACACUGCACCAGGCUCACUGGAGUUCUCCGCUUCUUCCUUCUGUAGCAGACUCUCAGUGCUGAGCUCAGACGCCUGCCUCGUUUAUUCUUAGACCGUGUACCUCGAAUUGCGAACCACAUCACAGCAGUUUGUGACCAUGUGAGUGUGCAGUACCCAUGGAGUCCAGAAGGGGGUGUCAGAUCCCCUGGAGCUGGAGUAACAGGCAGUUGAGAGUCACUGUGGGUGAUGUGAGGAACUGCACUCAAGUCCUCUGGAAGAGCAAAUGUCCUCUUGACUCCUGAGCCAUCUCUCUUGCUCAAGCCAAGCCUGCUUUUUCUCAUCCGAGUUCUAGAAACAAUAUCUUUUAGACCAUCGCAAUCACAUUGGAAGGAACUACCACGGUAUCUGAUGGCAGCACUCAGGAAAUACUUGACAGGAUUCCAGACUUUUCUGAGCAUCUGUUUCAGUUACCUCUUGCUGCUGUAAUAAGCCAGCGCAGGUGCACCGACCUGAAGCAAAGCUAACUUCUUAUGUCACUGUUAUGGAGGUGAGUACUCUGGUACGUGGGCCAGUGGGCUAGCACAGAUGUCAUCAAGGCUGCGCUCCUUUCGGGAAGAUCUAGGAGACAGUCUGUUUCCUUGACUUUUGUAGCUUCUGGGAGUGGGUUCCUAUUUUCUAGUUCACAAUUCCCCUCUUUUAUCCCUGUAGCCAAUAGUUUUGCUCAAAUCCUCAUUCCUCCAACUCUGUGUGGGCCUUGUGACAUCGCUGGAGAUCUUCACCUUAGCUGUGUCUGGAAAACCCUCUUCCUGUGUACAUGACGUCACGCCAGGUUCACCGUGGCAGGAACCGUCAUCCUGCCUACCUGCUGUGGCAUUUUCAGACACACAUUCCCUGAACAGAGCAGGCUCUUUAACAGUAAAAUGGCAAUGUUGCGGCCACUGUCCUUUCUGAGAGAGGUUUACUGUGACAACUCAAUUCGUUAUUUCUGGUUGAGAUUAGCAACUCUGUAAUGAGUGGAGAUCUCUUAUUGUUACUCUAUAACCAAAUGAGAAAUUAAAGCUAACCGCUCGAGCCUCAAA